rnacentral:rRNA from 1 species
AGAGUUUGAUCAUGGCUCAGGACGAACGCUGACGGUGUGCUUUAGGCAUGCAAGUCGAACGAGAAAGCCCUUCGGGGUGAGUAGAGUGGCGAACGGGUGAGUAACACGUGGGCAACCUGCCCCUCGCAGGGGGAUAACCGGAGGAAACUCCGGCUAAUACCCCGUAAGCUUUCAGGGUCGCAUGGCUCUGUAAGGAAAGGUAGCUUCGGCCAUCCGGCGAGGGAUGGGCCCGCGGUGCAUUAGCUAGUUGGUGGGGUAAUGGCCCACCAAGGCGACGAUGCGUAGCUGGUCUGAGAGGAUGGUCAGCCACAUUGGAACUGAGACACUGUCCAGACUCCUACGGGAGGCUGCAGUCGAGAAUCUUGGGCAAUGCACGAAAGUGUGACCCAGCGACGCCGCGUGAAGGAUGAAGGCCCUCUGGGUCGUAAACUUCUUUUAUGGGGAAAGAAUAAAUGACGGUACCCCAUGAAUAAGCCACGGCUAACUACGUGCCAGCAGCCGCGGUAAUACGUAGGUGGCAAGCGUUGUCCGGAUUUACUGGGCGUAAAGCGUAUGCAGGCGGAUGUUUAAGUAAGAAGUGAAAGGUUGCAGCUCAACUGCAACACUGCUUCUUAUACUGGGCAUCUUGAGUGGCGGAGAGGGAGAUGGAACGACACGUGUAGCGGUGAAAUGCGUUGAUAUGUGUCGGAACACCAAUGGCGAAAGCAAUCUCCUGGACGCAAACUGACGCUGAGAUACGAAAGCUAAGGUAGCAAACAGGAUUAGAUACCCCCGUAGUCC